UACGAAGGGGGCUAGCGUUGUUCGGAAUCACUGGGCGUAAAGGGCGCGUAGGCGGCUUUGUAAGUCGGGGGGUGAAAGCCUGUGGCUCAACCACAGAAUUGCCUUCGAUACUGCAUGGCUUGGGACCGGAAGAGGUAAGUGGAACUGCGAGUGUAGAGGUGAAAUUCGUAGAUAUUCGCAAGAACACCAGUGGCGAAGGCGGCUUACUGGUCCGGUUCUGACGCUGAGGCGCGAAAGCGUGGGGAGCAA
rnacentral:rRNA from 1 species